AAAACGACUCUCGGCAACGAAUAUCUAGGCUCUCGCAUCGAUGAAGAACGUAGCGAAAUGCGAUACUUGGUGUGAAUUGCAGAAUCCCGCGAAUCAUCGAGUUUUUGAACGCAAGUUGCGCCCGAAGCCUUUCGGCCGAGGGCACGUCUGCCUGGGUGUCACGC
rnacentral:rRNA from 1 species